rnacentral:rRNA from 1 species
UACAGAGGGGGCAAGCGUUGUUCGGAAUUACUGGGCGUAAAGGGCGCGUAGGCGGCCUUCUAAGUCGAACGUGAAAUCCCCGGGCUCAACCCGGGAACUGCGUCCGAUACUGGAAGGCUUGAAUCCGGGAGAGGGAUGUGGAAUUCCAGGUGUAGCGGUGAAAUGCGUAGAUAUCGGGAGGAACACCGGUGGCGAAGGCGGCCCCCUGGUUGGAUACUGACGCUGAGACGCGAAAGCGUGGGGAGCAAACAGG